rfam:Felis catus isolate Cinnamon breed Abyssinian chromosome X, whole genome shotgun sequence.
GCCUGGGUGGCUCAGUCGGUUAAGCAUCUGUCUUUAGUUCAGGUCAUGAUCUCGGGGUUCGUGAGUUCGAGCCCCACCUCAGGUU